AUGUUUGCCCGCUCAGCUUGCAGCGACUGCAGUCCUGUCAGUGUUAUGGAGGACCCGUGUGCUUUUCCCAGUGUGAUUGGCUGCAGUCACUCAUGGACAGCCGGGCGGUCAGCUGCUGCCAAAGGCCCCAAAGUGAGUUCAUGCUUGCAUUCCUGUAUGUGCAUGAAGAUGUAAAAAUAACCCCAUCAGGGUCUGCUUCUUCGUCAGCAUCUGUUUCCCCCUAAAAGGGCCUUUUUUUUUCCUCCUUGUUUCAGACAGCUAGCAGUCAUUUAUUAACUCUUGAGCCACACUUGUUGAUGUGGAACGGUCAGAUGACAUUUUGCAGCAGGCCACCAAAUCAAAGGCAGACACGUGACUGCUCCUCAUCCAGGCGGCUGUAUAUGGUCCGGAUUCUUGGAGCUGGAAAGAUAAAUCCUCAAAAGCCCAGAACGGAAUAAAAGGAGGGUUUAUUUGUGUGUUUAUGUGUGUGUGUGUGUGUGUGGGGUGACUAACGGACAGAACCACCUAAGGAGGGUGGGAUCAGAAUCAACGACCACUUUUUCUCGUGGGUUCAUUCGAGGCGUGCAGAAGUAUUUGAAAAAAAGGCUCAAAAACAAAACGGGUGGGGCUUUGUUGACUGAAGUGGGAGGGGCUGACCUACAUUCUCUGCUGCUUUGAGCACACAGGCAAAAUGUUGACUCUGAAAUAUUCAAUUCCUUCUCAAAGUGUGCGCGUGAUAGUAGGGUUUCACGUGUACGCAUAGCAGAAGUGUUGAGGAGGUGGCACAGAUUUUCCCCCAAAGUGGGGGCCAUUGUCUGCCCUUUUCAGUGGGCUGGCACACCUAGUUCCUGAAACACAUUUCCACCUUUUGUUGCUCAAAGACGUCACUCUGAAACAGAACUAGCAAAUGCCUUUUUUUGUUUUUUCAUAAUUGCAUUAAGAGUUUUGAAGAAAAGGUUUCCUGGUGUGCACACCUGCUGCCACAGUUGCUUAGCUAUCCUGAAAUAGCAACAGAAGAAUGUCAACAGCAAGCGAAGGACAACUGCAGCCUUGCAGGUAUACGAAAGAUGAGAAGCGCUCAAACACAUGUGCCGCGGCGCCUGUUAACUCACUUUAAUGUGCUUUUUGAAGCCCUAACAGAACUGAACCAACAAAGCAAACAAAAGAGGAGGGUGGACUAAGAAAAAGAAAAGCAAUCUUAGCAUCUUCUGAGAUUUCAAAACAAUACUAACAGAUAAAAUGAUGCAUGCUCUUUCUCAGACACUUACUUUAUUAUCUAUGUCAAACUAAUUUAACACAAAACCUAUUUAUCUGCAGAGAAAUGCUGCACCUCAAAGUCUCUAAAACAUUUACAUGUUAAAAUUAUCUUUCUGCAUGUUUUCAAGGUUGCAGCGACUUUAAAGUCCUGCUCCGAUCAUUUUUGGAUUUAUGUGUAAAUUGUUCCAAGUGGUCUUUUAAUUAUGAUUUUAGCCAAAAUCCCCCAAAAUCUGU
rnacentral:lncRNA from 1 species